GCUUCCGUGGCGCAAUUGGCUAGCGCGUCUGACUGUUAAUCAGGAGGUUGGUGGUUCGAUCCCACCCGGGAGCG